rnacentral:rRNA from 1 species
GACGAACGCUGGCGGCGUGCUUAACACAUGCAAGUCGAACGGUGAAGCUCCAGCUUGCUGGAGUGGAUCAGUGGGGAACGGGUGAGUAACACGUGAGCAACCUGCCCCUGACUCUGGAAUAAGCGCUGGAAACGGCGUCUAAUACUGGAUACGAGAAGGGUCCGCAUGGGCACUUUCUGGAAAGUUUUUCGGUUGGGGAUGGGCUCGCGGCCUAUCAGCUUGUUGGUGAGGUAAUGGCUCACCAAGGCGACGACGGGUAGCCGGCCUGAGAGGGCGACCGGCCACACUGGGACUGAGAAACGGCCCAGACUCCUACGGGAGGCAGCAGUGGGGAAUAUUGCACAAUGGGCGAAAGCCUGAUGCAGCGACGCCGCGUGAGGGAUGACGGCCUUCGGGUUGUAAACCUCUUUCAGCAGGGAAGAAGCGAAAGUGACGGUACCUGCAGAAGAAGCACCGGCUAACUACGUG